CACGUAGGGUGCGAGCGUUGUCCGGAAUUAUUGGGCGUAAAGAGCUCGUAGGCGGUGUGUCGCGUCGGCCGUGAAAACCUGCAGCUUAACUGUGGGCGUGCGGUCGAUACGGGCAUCACUGGAGUUCGGCAGGGGAGACUGGAAUUCCUGGUGUAGCGGUGAAAUGCGCAGAUAUCAGGAGGAACACCGGUGGCGAAGGCGGGUCUCUGGGCCGAAACUGACGCUGAGGAGCGAAAGCGUGGGGAGCGAACAGG
rnacentral:rRNA from 1 species